CGUAGGUGGCAAGCGUUGUCCGGAUUUAUUGGGUUUAAAGGGUGCGUAGGCGGUCCUAUAAGUCAGUUGUGAAAUACGGCAGCUUAACUGUCGAGGUGCAAUUGAUACUGCAGGACUUGAGUACAGACGAGGUAGGCGGAAUUGACGGUGUAGCGGUGAAAUGCUUAGAUAUCGUCAAGAACACCGAUAGCGAAGGCAGCUUACUAGACUGUAACUGACGCUGAUGCACGAAAGUGUGGGGAUCAAACAGGAUUAGAUACCCUGGUAGUCCACACUGUAAACGAUGAUUACUCGAUGUUGGCGAUACACAGCCAGCGUCUUAGCAAAAGCGAUAAGUAAUCCACCUGGGAGUACGCCGGCAACGGUG
rnacentral:rRNA from 1 species